UCCAGACUCCUACGGGAGGCAGCAGUGGGGAAUAUUGGGCAAUGGGCGCAAGCCUGACCCAGCAACGCCGCGUGAAGGAAGAAGGCUUUCGGGUUGUAAACUUCUUUUAAGAGGGACGAAACAAAUGACGGUACCUCUUGAAUAAGCUCCAGCUAACUACGUGCCAGCAGCCGCGGUAAUACGUAGGGAGCGAGCGUUAUCCGGAUUUACUGGGUGUAAAGGGCGUGUAGGCGGGAAUGCAAGUCAGAUGUGAAAACGAUGGGCUCAACCCAUAGCCUGCAUUUGAAACUGUAUUUCUUGAGUGCUGGAGAGGCAAUCGGAAUUCCGUGUGUAGCGGUGAAAUGCGUAGAUAUACGGAGGAACACCAGUGGCGAAGGCGGAUUGCUGGACAGUAACUGACGCUGAGGCGCGAAAGCGUGGGGAGCAAACAGGAUUAGAUACCCUAGUA
rnacentral:rRNA from 1 species